rnacentral:rRNA from 1 species
GAUGAACGCUGGCGGCGUGCCUAAUACAUGCAAGUCGAGCGAACGGACGAGAAGCUUGCUUCUCUGAUGUUAGCGGCGGACGGGUGAGUAACACGUGGAUAACCUACCUAUAAGACUGGGAUAACUUCGGGAAACCGGAGCUAAUACCGGAUAAUAUUUUGAACCGCAUGGUUCAAAAGUGAAAGACGGUCUUGCUUUCUCUUAUAGAUGGAUCCGCGCUGCAUUAGCUAGUUGGUAAGGUAACGGCUUACCAAGGCAACGAUGCAUAGCCGACCUGAGAGGGUGACCGGCCACACUGGAACUGAGACACGGUCCAGACUCCUACGGGAGGCAGCAGUAGGGAAUCUUCCGCAAUGGGCGAAAGCCUGACGGAGCAACGCCGCGUGAGUGAUGAAGGUAUUCGGAUCGUAAAACUCUGUUAUGAGGGAAGAACAUAUGUGUAAGUAACUGUGCACAUCUUGACGGUACCUAAUCAGAAAGCCACGGCUAACUACGUG